rfam:Ipomoea nil DNA, scaffold: scaffold0861, cultivar: Tokyo-kokei standard.
AUUUGAUGGUGUGGGCAGCUUGCACAUAAUUUCUUGAAACGUUCCCAAUAUUCAUACAACGACUCUCCAUUGUUUUGUCUUAUACCACAGAUUUCCUUUCUAAUGUU